rnacentral:rRNA from 1 species
CAUGCAUGUCUAAGUAUAAGCAACUAUACGGUGAACUGCGAAAUGCUCAUUAAAUCAGUUAUCGUUUAUUUGAUAGUACUUACUACAUGGAUAACCGUGGUAAUUCUAGAGCUAAUACAUGCUAAAAACCCCGACUCCGGGAGGGGUGUAUUUAUUAGAUAAAAAACCAAUGCCCUUCGGGGCUCCUUGGUGAAUCAUCAUAACUCGCGACGAAUCGCAUGGCCUUGCGCCGGCGAUGGUUCAUUCAAAAUUUCUGCCCUAUCAACUUUCGAUGGUAGGGAUAGUGGCCUACCAUGGUCUCAACGGGUAACGGGGAAUUAGGGUUCGACUCCGGAGAGGGAGCCUGAGAAACCGGCUACCACAUCCAAGGAAGGCAGCAGGCGCGCAAAUUACCCAAUGCCGACACGGCGAGGUAGUGACAAUAAAUACUGAUACAGGGCUCUUUUGGGUCUUGUAAUUGGAAUGAGUACAAUUUAAAUCCCUUAACGAGGAACAAUUGGAGGGCAAGUCUGGUGCCAGCAGCCGCGGUAAUUCCAGCUCCAAUAGCGUAUAUUAAAGUUGUUGCAGUUAAAAAGCUCGUAGUUGAGCCUUGGGCCUGGCUGGCCGGUCCGCCUCACCGCGUGUACUGGUCCGGCCGGGCCUUUCCUUCUGGGGGGAGGCCGCAUGGCUUCACUGGCCGUGCCGGGGAACCAGGACUUUUACUUUGAAAAAAUUAGAGUGUUCAAAGCAGGCCUUUGCUCGAAUACAUUAGCAUGGAAUAAUAGAAUAGGACGUGUGGUUCUAUUUUGUGGUUUCUAGGACCGCCGUAAUGAUUAAUAGGGAUAGUCGGGGGCAUCUGUAUUCAAUUGUCAGAGGUGAAAUUCUUGGAUUUAUUGAAGACAAACUACUGCGAAAGCAUUUGCCAAGGAUGUUUUCAUUAAUCAGUGAACGAAAGUUAGGGAUCGAAGACGAUCAGAUACCUGUCGUAGUCUUAACCAUAGACUAUGCCGACUAGGGAUCAGGUGGGUGUUAUUGUUUUGGACCCCAUCGGCACCUUAACGAGAAAUCAAAGUUUUUGCGGUUCUGGGGAGUACAUGGUCGCAAGGCUGAA